rnacentral:rRNA from 1 species
ACGGAAGGCAGCAGUAGGGAAUAUUGCACAAUGGGGGGAACCCUGAUGCAGCAACGCCACGUGUGGGAAGAAGCAUUUCGGUGUGUAAACCACUGUCGUGAGGGAAUAAGGCAUUGUUUCGGCGAUGUUGAAUGUACCUCGAAAGGAAGCACCGGUAAACCUCGUGCCAGCAGCCGCGGUACUACGAGGGGUGCAAGAGUUGUUCGGAAUCACUGGGCGUAAAGGGAGCGCAGGCGGAGAUGCAAGCGGACUUUACAAUCCCGGGGCCCAACCCCGGACCUGCAGUCCGGACUGCACCUCUUGGAUAGUUCAGGGGCAAGCGGAAUUCCUGGUGUAGCGGUGGAAUGCGUAGAGAUCAGGAAGAACACCGAUGGCGAAGGCAGCUUGCUGGGGACUUAUCGACGCUCAUGCUCGAAAGUGCGGGUAGCAAACAGGAUUAGAUACCCUGGUA